rfam:Coniosporium apollinis CBS 100218 chromosome Tnknown supercont1.73, whole genome shotgun sequence.
GCUACGGUGGCCGAGUGGUCUAAGGCGGUAGAUUUAAGUUCAACUCGGAACUCUACUGGGGCAACCCGCAUGCGUUCGAACCGCAUCCGUAGCA